rnacentral:rRNA from 1 species
GAGGAAUAUUGGACAAUGGGCGGUAGCCUGAUCCAGCCAUGCCGCGUGCAGGAAGAAUGUCCUAUGGACUGUAAACUGCUUUUGUACGGGAAGAACCGGGGGCACGCGUGCCCCCCUGACGGUACCGUAAGAAUAAGGAUCGGCUAACUCCGUGCCAGCAGCCGCGGUAAUACGGAGGAUCCGAGCGUUAUCCGGAAUCAUUGGGUUUAAAGGGUCCGUAGGCGGGCCGUUAAGUCAGGGGUGAAAGUCUGCGGCUCAACCGUAGAACUGCCCUUGAUACUGGCGGCCUUGAGUUAUGGUGAAGUAGCCAGAAUAUGUGGUGUAGCGGUGAAAUGCAUAGAUAUCACAUGGAAUACCGAUUGCGAAGGCAGGCUACUAACCAUAUACUGACGCUGAUGGACGAAAGCGUGGGUAGCGAAC